rnacentral:rRNA from 1 species
AUCGAUGAAGAACGCAGCGAAAUGCGAUAAGUAAUGUGAAUUGCAGAAUUCAGUGAAUCAUCGAAUCUUUGAACGCACAUUGCGCCCAUUAGUAUUCUAUUGGGCAUGCCUGUUCGAGCGUCAUUUCAACCCUUAAGCUUAGCUUAGUGUUGGGAAUCUACUCUGAGCGGUAGCUACCCUGUAGCUACCCUGUAGUUCCUCAAAUCUAACGGCGGAGUCGUAGUCACCUCUGAGCGCAGUAAUACUUAUCACGCUUUUGAAAGUGCUAUAACCCUAGCCGCUAAACCCCCCAAUUUUUAAUGGUUGACCUCGGAUCAGGUAGGAAUACCCGCUGAACUUAAGCAUAUCAAUAAGCGGAGGAAAAGAAACCAACAGGGAUUGCCCUAGUAACGGCGAGUGAAGCGGCAACAGCUCAAAUUUGAAAUCUGGCCUUCUGGUCCGAAUUGUAAUUUGUAGAGGAUGAUUUUGGUGCGGUACUUUCCGAGUUCCCUGGAACGGGACGCCUUAGAGGGUGAGAGCCCCGUACGGUUGGAUGCCUAGCCUCUGUAAAUCUCCUUCGACGAGUCGAGUAGUUUGGGAAUGCUGCUCUAAAUGGGAGGUAAAUUUCUUCUAAAGCUAAAUACUAGCCAGAGACCGAUAGCGCACAAGUAGAGUGAUCGAAAGAUGAAAAGCACUUUGAAAAGAGGGUUAAACAGCACGUGAAAUUGUUGAAAGGGAAGCGCUUAUGACCAGACUUUUUCUAGGCGGAUCAUCCGGUGUUCUCACCGGUGCACUUCGUCUAGUUUAGGCCAGCAUCGGUUUCUAUAGGGAGAUAAAAGCUUCAGGAAUGUGACUCCUCCGGGAGUGUUAUAGCCUGUUGUAUAAUAUCCUUACGGGGACCGAGGUACGCGCUCUGCAAGGAUGCUGGCAUAAUGGUCAUCAGCGACCCGUCUUGAAACACGG